AGAGUUUGAUCCUGGCUCAGGACGAACGCUGGCGGCGUGCUUAACACAUGCAAGUCGAACGAUGAAGCCUAGCUUGCUAGGUGGAUUAGUGGCGAACGGGUGAGUAAUACGUGAGUAACCUACCUUUAACUCUGGGAUAAGCCUGGGAAACUGGGUCUAAUACCGGAUACGACCGAUCUCCGCAUGGAGUGUUGGUGGAAAGCGUUAUGUAGUGGUUAUAGAUGGGCUCACGGCCUAUCAGCUUGUUGGUGAGGUAACGGCUCACCAAGGCGACGACGGGUAGCCGGCCUGAGAGGGUGACCGGCCACACUGGGACUGAGACACGGCCCAGACUCCUACGGGAGGCAGCAGUGGGGAAUAUUGCACAAUGGGCGCAAGCCUGAUGCAGCGACGCCGCGUGAGGGAUGACGGCCUUCGGGUUGUAAACCUCUGUUAGCAGGGAAGAAGAGAAAUUGACGGUACCUGCAGAGAAAGCGCCGGCUAACUACGUGCCAGCAGCCGCGGUAAUACGUAGGGCGCGAGCGUUGUCCGGAAUUAUUGGGCGUAAAGAGCUUGUAGGCGGUUUGUCGCGUCUGCUGUGAAAGGCCGGGGCUUAACCCCGUGUAUUGCAGUGGGUACGGGCAGACUAGAGUGCAGUAGGGGAGACUGGAACUCCUGGUGUAGCGGUGGAAUGCGCAGAUAUCAGGAGGAACACCGAUGGCGAAGGCAGGUCUCUGGGCUGUAACUGACGCUGAGAAGCGAAAGCAUGGGGAGCGAACAGGAUUAGAUACCCUGGUAGUCCAUGCCGUAAACGUGCCCAAAAGGUGGGGGGACAUUCCACGUUUUUCCGCGCCGUAGUUAACGCAUUAAGAGCCCCGCCUGGGGAAGUACGGCCGCAAGGAUAAAACUCAAAGAAAUUGACGGGGGCCCGCACAAGCGGCGGAGCAUGCGGAUUAAUUCGA
rnacentral:rRNA from 1 species